rnacentral:lncRNA from 1 species
GAAGGUCCAAAGUUUAAAGUUUUGAAUUUCAUUAAACCAGCAAAUACAUUGUAAAUAGGCAACCAGAAGAUUUAGAACCAACAAAAAUUAAGAGUAGCUUGCAGUAUCACAUGUUUGCACUCUUUAGGGAUUGCAUGAUUCAUAGAGUCAAUUCAACGGGGAAAAUUUACCACCUCCUUACAACUAGAAGGAGAACUACAACUAUAAAUAAAGGUUCUAGAUAUAAACACUUGUUAAUGAAGCUCAUUGCUUCAACUGCCCUCGGAUUUCUCCAGUGCUACCAAAUAAAAAGGAAAAAAAAAGAGAAACAAGGUGACAAUGUUAGUACCAAAACCAACUUCACUUAACAGCAAGUAAUAAGAAGUGAUAACCAAAUACAGCACCAUGAAGAUGGAAAUUAUAAAUUAUAGCAGCUAAAUGUAGUUGAGAUGAAAAAGAGUUCCCAAACAAAAAAAGAUCUCAUAAUACUUAAGAAAGUCAAUCAAAUUCGUCAUUGAUCAACUAAUAGUUUUAUCUGAAUUUUCCAAGAACAAAUCCCUCCGCAUAACAACUUUAGUACACGGUUUUUCCUAAUUGUUCUUUUGAUUGGUUCAGCAAUUAAACCAUAUUGAUUAUCAUUUCUCUAUUGGCUAGGUCUUUUUGUAGAAUCAUCACAUCAAGGGGACAGUGGCCUAAUAGAAGUGCCAGUCAGGGCAUUUCAUGGUGCUUUCCAUGAUAAGACAAAGGAGACUGGUGAGGUAGUGUCUCCUUCACUGGAGCUACACUAGCACAAUAACCUCUAAAUAGAAAUGUUUGAGAGCAAUACGAAAAGGUUCUCAGUCGAUUUACAGAGGGCAUCUAGUUUUUCUAAGAGGAGGUUCUACCUGCGGAAUACAUAGCCAAGAUAAAAACAAGUACUUACUCUGAAAAUGGUUGUAGAGAGGAGAGAAAAAUAUGCACGAUAUAAAUCAAAAGGUUAGAAGUCCAACUGAAUGCUAAGUGAGGCAUUAGGUGUGUUUAUAUAGAGGGAGAAAAAUGAUGAGAUGGAUCGGUUUAAUUACUCAUGAAAGAUGCCUUGUUUCAAUAAUUAAUUUAACCAAUGCAUCUCAUCAUUUUAUCCCACUAUGGGAACACACCCUAUGCCCUACUCACUAUACGCAAACUUCCAACCUUUUGAUUUAUACAGAUUUUACCCCUCUCACUAUAUAAACACACCCUAUUCCUUAAUACACACUUAAACUUCCAACCUUUUGAUAUAAAGUCUAUUGUGUGUAUGUGUACAUAUUUAUGUAGACACCAUAGAGAGCCAAAAGAUCAAACAUUUCCUGUGUUUCAUGUUAGGGCACUAUAUAUGAGGUCACUGAGAUUCUCAAGGUUAAUGGAGAUGGCUGUAGAGACUUAAUUUACUAUAUAACCCUUACCGUCAAG